CCUACGGGUGGCAGCAGUGGGGGAUAUUGGACAAUGGAGGGAACUCUGAACCAGCGACGCCGCGUGAGUGAAGAAGUAUUUCGGUAUGUAAAGCUCUGUCAGCAGGGAAGAAAACAAUGACGGUACCUGACCAAUAAGCCCCGGCUAACUACGUGCCAGCAGCCGCGGUAAUACGUAGGGGGCGAGCGUUAUCCGGAAUUAGUGGGUGUAAGGGGAGCGUAGACGGUUAAGUAAGUCUGGAGUGAAAGGCCGGGGCCCAACCCCGGGACUGCAGUGGAAACUAUUGAACUUGAGUGCAGGGGAGGUAAGCGGAAUUCCUAGUGUAGCGGUGAAAUGCGUAGAUAUUAGGAGGAACACCAGUGGCGAAGGCGGCUUACUGGACUGUAACUGACGUUGAGGCUCGAAAGCGUGGGGAGCAAACAGGAUUAGAUACCCGGGUAGUC
rnacentral:rRNA from 1 species